rnacentral:lncRNA from 10 species
AACUUUCAUUUUUUCUAUUUGUACAUGGCAGAACACCUUAGUUAUGUAAGAAUCCCUGGGCUGCUGUGAAGAGUGCCUAUGGCAGCAGAAUAAUGGUCUCCCGGAGGCGUACAUAUCCUAAUCCCUGCAACCUGUGGAUGCUACUUUCAUGGCAAAAUAAUUUUGGAACACAAGGAGGCAGAAAGAACUGUGUCCCAAUGUUGUGAGAAGAGAAAGACACAAUGAACCACUGCUGGCUUUGAAGAUGGAAGAGGGAGCUGCAACCCAAAGAAUGCCUCUAGAAGCAGGAGAAGGCAAGAAACAGAUUCUCGCCUAGAGCUUCCAGAAAGGAGCACAGUGCCAGCACUUUGAUGUUAGCCAUUCUUAAGAAGUGACUCUCCAGGGGAGCUAAAAUCCAUGUAUUUGGGCACACACUUGAACAAUAUUGCUAGAGAAAUUUAAGCAAGAGCACAAAGUUUUGCCAGGACGAUUAAAUAUCAUUGAUGCUUCUGGUCUACAAUUAGUCAGAGAAGAGAUUAAAAAAAUGAUGAGUAUUCAAGAAGGAAAGUGUUUGCUUUAACAUAUGAAGAAAAGGAGCUUCAGAGUGGUGAUUAACCCCAGAAUUGUGUGGAACGGAUAUGGAAACAAGACCACAGGAGCAUCGAGAACUGAGCAGAACUGAAGGUGACAUGAAAAUCAGCUGCAAGAUUCACCUCAGGGUGAUAAUGGGCUGCAGGUGGCUGCAGGAAUCCCGGGACAUUCUAGGCACUGCCAUAUUUUCUUAGGGGCCAGUAAGGAUGGCUAUCAUCAGAUGUACCUGAUGAUACAAACAUGGGCUGUCUUGCCUUCUAGUAUUCAUUCUUGAUGAUUGCAUCCAGAGCUCACUUUGGAGGUGCAGAUCAACUCUUCUUCAGGCUCAUCCAUGCGACUUGAGUGGGCUCUCAUCCCCAUUCCCAGGGGCUUAUGACAAUCAAGGUUUCCACUCCUCCAUGGUCUCAAUGGUUUUUCUCCCCAUGGGAAGCACAUAAUCCCAUUAGAGGCCACGGGAAGCUUUUUUGUUGGGCUUUGAGGGAAAAAAGGCUUUUGCAGCCAAUGAAUCGAUCAAUGUGUACUUCAACCUGGAUUGUAUGUAUGCAUCUCCUAGAUUGGGCGGAUGAUGAAGUGAGGCUGGAAGUGCUGAGCAUCUUCCUACCUGGGAUGACUGGGCUGAGCAGGAAGCCUACCCCGGGGUUCCAGCCAAGUUGGAGCCUGUGAGUGUGUGGUGUAGUUUAACGCCCUGAUUAAAUCACUAGGAAGCCAUUUCUCUCUCUCCUCCCAGACCAGAUCAGACAAUAUGUUCCCUUAUUUCUACUAAAGCCCCAAUUGGAUUUUGUGUCUUUUGAUACUGAAAGAAUCUUACCACAAAUAAAAUAAUUUGUCAUGUGGCUCCUACAUAUUUAUUCAGUUACAUAAACUAACUAAAUAAAUGAAUAAACUGUCAAUAAUGGUAGUUCCUCAUCUAUGAAUGACUCUUUACAAAGCCUAUCUCGCUUAAUAGUCAUAAUAAAUACUGAAGUAGAUACUAUUUAUACCUUUUUUUUAAAAGGAAUUAAAUAUUUUCAGGGUUAUACAAAGCAUGAGUAUUGUGGGUACAAAUUCAAGCUUUCUAACUCAAAUUUGAAGACUUAUCCCCAGGAUACUUUUACAUCUUUAGCUAGUACCAUGUAUACCUCAAAAGCUUACAUUAUUUUUCACAUGUGUUAGGUUUUGAGGGAUAAUCAAUAAGGAGGGCAUACUUUCAGGCUUCUUAUUUAUAACUGUGAAAUUUAGAAAUUGAUGGAGUAGCAGAUUUCUCGGUAGGAGACAGCUGUUUUAAAAUGCCCCAUGUUUUUAUUAAAGUAAAAAUCUCAAAAAUUGUCUUUUAAAAAGUGGCUCUGGCCAAUCUUAGAUAAAACAUCAUUUACUAGACUUAGGAAUUUCCUGUAGUAAAUUUCAGAUUUACUUUUCGGUCUCACAUCAUCAAAGAGAUCAUAACCCUUUGUGCAAUUAUGGUCUUGAACCAAGGCCUAUUCUCUAGGUCACUGCUGUCAGGACUUCAAGAUAAUUGUUUCCAUUGCAGGAUUUGAUUUUUAAUUCCCCGGAUGUUCUUGACGUGGUUCAGUUCUUCAGGAAAUCAUCACCCUCAUGAGCCCUCCCUGCCACUUGCAGAUAGGGCUUUCUCCCGGUAAGUUCUGGAGUCACGGCAGAGCUCAAUAAGUCUGAUUGGGACCUCCUAUGAUUAU